rnacentral:rRNA from 1 species
AGAGUUUGAUCAUGGCUCAGGACGAACGCUGGCGGCGUGCCUAAUACAUGCAAGUCGAGCGGGCUUUGCCUUCGGGUAAAGCUAGCGGCGGACGGGUGAGUAACACGUAGGCAACCUGCCUGUAAGACCGGGAUAACUACCGGAAACGGUAGCUAAGACCGGAUAAGUGGUCUUCUCGCAUGAGAGGAUCAAGAAACACGGGGCAACCUGUGGCUUACAGAUGGGCCUGCGGCGCAUUAGCUAGUUGGUGGGGUAACGGCUCACCAAGGCGACGAUGCGUAGCCGACCUGAGAGGGUGAUCGGCCACACUGGGACUGAGACACGGCCCAGACUCCUACGGGAGGCAGCAGUAGGGAAUCUUCCGCAAUGGACGCAAGUCUGACGGAGCAACGCCGCGUGAGUGAUGAAGGUUUUCGGAUCGUAAAGCUCUGUUGCCAGGGAAGAACGUCGCGGAGAGUAACUGCUCUGCGAAUGACGGUACCUGAGAAGAAAGCCCCGGCUAACUACGUGCCAGCAGCCGCGGUAAUACGUAGGGGGCAAGCGUUGUCCGGAAUUAUUGGGCGUAAAGCGCGCGCAGGCGGCCGCUUAAGUCUGGUGUUUAAGCCCGGGGCUCAACCCCGGUUCGCACUGGAAACUGGGCGGCUUGAGUGCAGGAGAGGAAAGCGGAAUUCCACGUGUAGCGGUGAAAUGCGUAGAGAUGUGGAGGAACACCAGUGGCGAAGGCGGCUUUCUGGCCUGU